rnacentral:lncRNA from 1 species
AUCAUUUGAAGAUGUUCCUUGAGGAGAGUUGAAAAAGUGAGUUGUAUCUCCAAUUGUGGAGCAUUUUGCUUUCUUUCUCAUCAAGAUGACAAACUGCACCCUGAUUUAUUUUUAUUCACUACUCCAUACUCCUACUGUUAUAAAUGUCCUAACAUUCAGAAUAUGCACCAUGGACUCCAGGAUGAGAACUUUUCAAGGCAUUGUAUGUAUCUUUGGACACUCUUUACAGAAUCCUGGCCAGGCAGUCAUCUUGGUUCUGCUGGUCCACUUCCUAUGUUGGAGGUUUGCUACCACUGGAGAGAGAGCCAUUUUUCUUUCCUCCAAGGAGUAAUUCUUAGACAUCUCUUUCAUGCAUUGAUCUGAAAUAUGACUCCCUGUGGAUUAAAAUAUCAUCAAAUGUGUAACUAUUUGAUGAAUGAGUCAUAUUACAGCAUGUUCUGGACAACAAGUUCCCCAUAAGAUUCUGGACUACUGUAGGACCGAGCCUGGAACUGAAGAAUUUGUCUUUGGUUGCUCAGUGCCUAACAGGACCUGAGGUACAGAGGACCCUUGAUAAAUCUUGAACGACUGACUAAAUGAAUUAAGUGAAUUUGCAGCAACGCGGCAAACAAGAAGAGACCGAAUCACAUUAUUAUUUUCAAAAGCAGCAUUUAUAAAGUUUAUAACUCAGUUUGUCACUGAGCAAAUCUAGUCUGUACCUUCAGACCCCAGCGAUGCCCCUGUGUUGUCACAGCUUCAGAAAACUUGAAUUUCUAAAACACACUGAUGUCAUUUUCAGGGUACAGAUUGGACUGUCAUCCAGCAUCUGCCCCCAUUUCCAGCCACUGACAGAACUGCAAGGAGCUAGAGCAGGAGGCUGGUGGAAAACGAUAGCUGAUGAUGGGAACCACAGAGACUGACAAUCUGGGUUCUAAUCCUGGCCGUUCCAUUUGUUUGCUUUGUGACUUUGGGCAAGUUACUUGCUCUCUCUCUACCUGUAAAGUAGAUAUGAGUAAAUGUGAGCAUUUAAUGAAUUGAAGCCCCUAAAGCUCUUGGAACAGAGCCAGGCAUGUUGUAAACAUUCAGUAAGUAUUGGCUUUCAUCCUCGUUUAGAGGAAGGAGCAUAAGCUUUGAGUAAGGCAAGCCAGGCUUUUAAUGCAUACUUUAGCCCUUUUUCUUGGGUAAUCAUUUAAUUUCACUAAACUUGUUUCAUCUUGUGUAAAAUGUAGAUAAUAACAUAGUGGUGGGGGAAAUUCUAUUUAAAACUAAAGACGACUACAGCCUUCAGAUUCCAAAGACUCUAAUUUAGGAAAAUACCUUGAUGAGCCUGCUUUGGAUAUGAAGAAGGAAGCCCCAGAGAGAGAACUAAAUCACUGUGCAUGGUGAAGAAAGAAUUUUGAGCAUUCCCCAGAGCUUGAGAUGAAAGCACCAAGCCCAGGAAGGAGAGAAAUCCAGCAAAAUAGCCAAAAAUCUGGGGCCCUCUUUGGGACAAGAGUCUUCAUAUUCAAUGUUGAGCAGUUACUGGGCACCACAGUGAAGUGUCCCUUACCCUUUCACCAGAAUAUAGGUAGAUGUGUGUUAUGUAAGCAAUCAUAUGUGGGUGAUGUGUUUUGGGUACAGGAGAAGGGAACAAAAACACAAGAGAAAUGAGGAGAAGAGAUGAAGAAUUUGGCCCGGGUAGGAAAAUAGAAUGUGAGGUAGGGAAAAGAAACCUGGAGAAGUGGGAAAGAUCCCCAGAUUUAUCACCAAUGUGCGAGAUGACAAUUAAGCACUUUUAUUUUAUUCUGAUCUAAACAAACAAACCAACAAAACCCCAAAGCCCCUAGAGUCAGUUAAAGAACCUAAGGACACUGGCAUUUGUGUUACCCACUUAGUAGGAACUUUUUUCCCCCUUUUAUAGCCACACCUGCAGCAUUUGGAAGUUUCUGGGCUAGGGGGGUCGAAUGGGAGGCACGCUGUGGCCUACUCCACAGGCACAGAAACACCAGUUCUGAGCCAUACCUGUGACCUAUGCUGCAGCUUGCAGCAACAUAACCACUGAGCGAGGCCAGGACUGAACCCGCAUCCUCAUGGAGACAAUGUUGGGGCCUUAACCUGCUGAGCCACAAUGGGAACUCCCCAGCAGGACUUUUGUGACAAUUAGUGUUAAUGGAUGGAUAUAAACUCCUAUCAACCAUUCACCCUGUUAAUUCAUAUAUUAUUUAAUGAAUAUUUAUCUAAUGAAAGGAAGCUGGGCAGAGAGCAGCUGGUCUAUGUUGGGGGCAGUGGAGCAUACAGGUUCACUUAUCGUGCUUAACAUCCCUAACCUACUCCCCUCAUCUAUCCAGCCCUGGCCUCUGUCGUUCUGCACACUCCCUGAGCCUUCAGGAGUGUCAGGGCUGUGCCUCCUGGGGAGCAUAGGCAGGCUGGUGUGAUGAGAAAAGAGUUUUUCCAAGUCAUGUUCAUGCAAGAGAAUACUUCAAGACUGAAAGUUUUAAAAUUCUUUUAUUAAUCUACUCAGUUAAGAGUGACAAGCAGGGUUCUAAAAACAUGGAGUUAUUUUAUCUACGAUCCAUUUUCCAGUAAGUGACUACCCAGUUAGCUGAAGCACAAGAAUAGGUAAUGGCUUUGUUUUCCUAAGAUGUAGUCAUUCCGAUUAUUUUUAGAUGAAUGAUUCGGAGCCAGAAGUAUAACUCAUAAUUAUGUUGCUAUGAUUCUACAACCAGUUGUUUGGUGGAAUUAGUUUGACCGUGACAACUUUAAAGUCACCACAUUUUCUGAAAAAAAUCAGCAGAUAAAAACUGAAAAUAAAAGAUUCCAUGACACGAAGUGCUGUUUCCUGCUAUUAUCUCACAUCUUUCUCCUCUGAAGCUUGCCUGCUGCCUUCCCUUAGGCUCUUUCCUGGUUUCCAGCUCUUACAAGGCUCCCCCAGGUACUUAAGCCCACUGACAAACCACCGAAUGCUCCAGGAAGCAUUCCUAAAGACCCCAGCCUGAGGAGCUGCUCUCUUCCUCUUAAUUCAUGCAUUGAUUGUGGAUUGGCUACAGCCUUCCUUAGAACUCCUCAUUCUCUCCCUUGAAUUUUGGUUUAUUUUCAAAUAAAUCUCAUUAUUUCCAAAGCUAGUUUUGGUCUAUGUAAAAAUUUUACAUUACAAAAAUUAUAUAUCAAUAUUAUCAAAAAUUUGGAAGAGAGAGGAAAGAAAAAUAUUCAUAAUCUCAUUAUCUUAACACUAACUCUGUACUCAUCAUUUUAGGGUGUUUUUUCUUAAGCUUUUUUUCUAUGCUUAUUUUUUCACUGAUUUAAUUCCAGUGUCUGUGCAAUUUCACAGUUUGACUUUUUUGCAACUAAUGCUACAUCACCACCAUUAUGGUAAUUGCUAUAUAGUUUUCAUAAAUGUUACUUUAAAGCCUGUGUAAUGUUGACUACUAUCAACAUUUUAGAUUGUUAAUUAUAGUCCACUAUUAUAAAUGGUACUGCAGUUGACAUCUUUAUGCAUGUAGUUUUCUCAGUGUGUGUAUUAUAUGUAUACAUGCAUGUGUAUUUCAAUUUUUUUUUCCCUUAAGCUAGUAUCCCAAAAGGAAAAUUACCGAAUCAAAGAGUAUGAUUAUUUUUAAGGUUUUUGAAACAUAUUGCUAAAUUGGUUUUCUAAAGAGUUGGACCAGUUUAUAUUACCAGAAACAUAUGAGAGUAUCAGUUUCUCCAGACUUUUACCAAAAUUAUUUCUUAAUUAUUAGUCUUCAUAUAAUCAAAAUAAGAUGACAUUUGUUCACGGUUUAAAUUUUUUACUAAAGCAUACAGAAAAGUAUGGAGGAAAAAAUUAGUCCAUGGCCCUGAUUUAUCGAAUUUUAAUACAUUCCCAUUGUACUAGUUUGUACUACAUUGUACUAGUUUUAUAAAAAUAAAAUAUUACAUAUAUAGUGAAGUCUUUGUGUACCCCUUCCCAGUUCUACUCUCUGUACACUUUUACAGAGACGACUGGAACUGGAUGUUUACUGUUCUUUGCAUUUCCGUAUCUUUUAAUUGUUAAAUCUUUGACUACUAACAAAGUUAAACUUUUUCCUAUGGCAUAGCUACUAUGAAAGUUCUUAGGUUCUAGAGUCAGGUAUAACUGGCUUUGAGUUCCUGCUCUGCUUCUUGCUACUCAUGUCUCCUUGAACCUCUCUGUGCCUCAGUUUCCUCAUCUAGAAAAUGGAGAUAAUAAUCAUUCCUACUAUUGUUUAUGUUGCUGUGAAGCUUAACUAUGACAGUUCAGGUAAAAUUCUUGGCCCAGGGCCCAGCACUCGAUAAAGCCUUUCACUAUUACUCUAGUUUCUCUUUUGAAUUGCCCGCUCCUUGUUCUUCUGGAAAAGAUUAGCUUACAACCUGUGACACACUUUAUCAAAUAUGAUCGUAUUUACUCUUCACGACAGCUCUGUGAGAUAGUAUUGCGGUGAUCCCAUUUGAUAAAUGAGGAAACGGAGCCUGAAUGGUCCAUAGGCUAGCAGGGAGCAGAGCUGUGUCUGAACUCGGUCUCAGGAGCAGGCAGCUCACUGCCCUUCUGUGCUGCUGCCCCUUCACCUCUGAAACUAGACAUGCUUUUUCAUGAUACGAUAUCACAUCACGAGCCCAUAAGGUAGUUUUAGCACAGUUCUGUAACACAGUCAUUACAGAUGGAUCCCAGUUUCUGUAUUUAUAAUUGUUUUCUUUUUCUAUCUUUUCUGAAUAUUCUGCAAGAAAUAUUUAUUGCUCUUAUAAAACCAGAUAUGCUUCUAAAUGCAUCAAAAACGUUGCCAGGAGUUUCCGUAGCAGUUCAGUAGAAGCGGAAACAAUCCGACUAGGAACCAUGAGGUUGCGGGUUUGAACCCUGGCCUUGCUCAGUGGGUUAAGGAUCCAGCAUUGCUGUGAGCUGUGGUGUAGGUUGAAGAUGCAGCUAGGAUCUGAUGUUGCUGUGGCUGUGGUGUAGGCUGGCAUCUGUAGCUCUGAUUUGACCCAUAGCCUGGGAACCUCCAUAUGCCAUGGGUGCGCCCCUAAAAAAGCGUUAAAAAAAAAGUUACCAGUUAUGUAAUAUGAUUAUAUUAUAUUGACAAUAUUAGAGAUUUAAGAUCUCUAGGCUUGGUAUUGCCUUUUUUCUGAAUUUUUAAAAAUAAGUCAAAGUAAAGAUCUUAAGCAAUUUCUGCAUCCAAAUUUCAGUGCCUGAAUGUAUGAAUCUAAAACAUUCUAAUUAAAAUAACCUCAAAAUGAUCCACUGUAUUUAAUAGGUAGCUAGAGUAAUAUGAACAUUGUAUGAUUUAUGAAAACUUAAUUUUAAAAGAAAAAUGUUACUAAAAUGUAUUUAUAAACCAUAAGUCAUGAAACUUUAUCUUGUAUUGUUUUUUUUUUUGAGGCACAAGAAAAAAGUGCCCUGGAUAUAGCUUUUAAACUACUUUGCAUGCAUUAAUAGGACACAUUAAUAAGUAUCAGCUCUGCUUAUACAAAUUUAAAUUACAGGAAUAUUUUUUUUCUUUUUACAGCUGCACCUGAGGCAUAUGGAAGCUCCUGGGCUAGGAGUCGAACUGGAGCCGCAUCUAAGCCCCAGCCAUGGCAACACCAGAUCCUUAACCCACUGAGCUAGGCGAGGGGCCAAACCAGCAUCCUUACAGAGACAACGUCGGGUCCUUAACCUUCUGGGCCGCAACAGGAACUCCGGGAACAUUUUUUAAGGUGAUAUUUUAUGGUAAUGAUAUUUUUCUCAGUUUGUCAAUACUCGUUUUUCCUUUGAACACACUGAUGUUGCUCAUAUUAAGUGACAUUCUCCUUAUCAUAUCUAAGAUUCAGAGAACCCAAAAGGGGUGGGUGUUAAUGAGGAGUCACACCCAACAUGACAAACCCCCAGGCAUGGCAGAAUGAGGUACCAUUAAUGGCAACUAGAGGACCAGAGAGUACCUCAAGACUCAGGAAAAGUGUGUUAUGGACACAAGGUUAUGCCAAGGCUAUUUACUGAACUAAACACUGAAGUAUUUUGAAAAGACCAAUAUAGAGCCUGCCAAUCUAAGUCCAGUGUUUGUUUUGGUUUUACUCCAACAGGAGAAUAAUCUGGUUCUUUUUUUUUUUUUUUUCUCCCAGAAAACACAGGGUUCAGGUAAAUGGCAGUAUGGGAGUCUAUAAAAACCAUCACUUUAUAAAUGACAGUCUGCCUGUCACCUGGCGAUCUGCCAAUUCUCCCAGCUAUUCACUGGAGCAAUACUCUGAGUCUGGCCUCUUGCCAGUGUCUGAAAAGGGCUCAAGCCAUGGGAGCUUCUCUGUGGCUCUCACUGCAGGUCUCCUUUCGUGGACCUUUUCCAGGAGGGUGGCAGUCACUUCAGCAGAAAGCCACCUCGCAACCCACGAAGUUUACCUCUUACUGGAGACUGUGUUAGCAGACGAAUGCCCCCACAUUCCAAAAUAUUUUAAGGAAAUUCAUCAUAAGCCUCUGGAUGAAAAGGCAACAGAAAAACUACAGUGCCUGGUAGGUCCUUACAGGGGGAUAAAUACCUCUGCCCUGAGGUAUUUCACAGAGUUGCACAUGCUCAUCUGCUAACUACGACUCAUUUCCUUUAUGAAAUUUUAAGCAAUCUGUUCUAAGAGAUGGUAUGGAAGAAGAUGAAAAUUCCUUUUUAAAAAAACAAUGUGUUAAAACCCAAACUCAAAAUCAGAGCAAAAAUACAUUGCUCUUCUCUGCUUGGAUUUUCUAGAAACAGCUUCAGGCAGCAGGGUGAAUUCCGGGGGCCGUUUUAGGGCAAGCCGGGGUGGGAUUAGAUGUUCCAGCCUGUACAGUUCUCCUAAGCCUGCCAUGAUCUGUAACUUAGCUCUUGGGCCUGGGCCAGAACCAGACCAACAUUCAAGGGUGAGCAAAGAAGGCAGCCGCCUUUGGGCAACUGCUGUGCAGAAUUCUCUGGAUAAUGCCUUUCACUCUGUUCUCCCCAACACUGGUCAAACACCCUCAAUCCAUCCUCUGCUUCCUUAGCGUCACUGUAGGUCUCUCCUGCUGAAGUUACAUACCUUUUUAAGAUUAUGAAAAUAAAUGCUAACCAUGCUAUUUUUGGGUCUCAGUUGAAAACAAUUAUCCUUUAGCAAUUUUCACAGUAUAAAUAAGGCUAAAGUUUGCUCUAUAACUUCAUUAAGAGAGUAUCUGUAAUGGGGGAAAAAGUACCAAAUUAUUUAAUGUAAAGAUUUAUAUAACAUCCCAACUAGGAAAAUGUCAUAUAAAUUUAUGUAUAUCAUAUAUGUAUCUUUCAUAAUUUGUUUUGUCAUCUUUCAUAAUAUAUGUAUGAGGAGUGUGAAUUUAAUUUUAGAUGCUUUAUUCAUUGAUAAUCCAUCUCAGAUUCUCUGUGAGCACUCAUGAUAAUGAAUGUAUUUGAUGUUCAGGUGGCUUCUCUGUGCUUUCAUUUUGCAGUUUUGCAGCUGAGUAAUCGAUAAUUCAAGGUACACAGAACAUUAAAAAAAAGUCUCAGUUAUUAUAAUGAAAGUACAAAUUGGUUUUUCCAGGCUUUUAAAAACUUUAAAGCCUUACUGGGUUGUAAGGAAAGUCUAUAUAAGUUUUUCCUUCUGAAUUAAGUUCUAGGCAGUACGAUAAAAUAGAGUCCCCAAGAGUUCUCCCGUGGCUCAGCAGGUUAAGGAUCCCAUGUUGUCACUGUAGUGGCUUGGGUCACUGCUGUGGCAUGGGUUUGAUCCCUGGCUGGGAACUUCUGCAUGGCGAGAGUGUAGCCUCCUCCCACCAAAAAAAAAAAAAAAAAAAAAAAAAA